CAACUGUCGAUGGUUUGGGCUUCAAGUUACCCAAAAGGAUGUGGCCCGGGACUAAUUUUUGUAACCCGAACGAAUUGUUAAACUUUUACCUGUCUAUAUACAAAACCUAUGGCUAAAACUUGGAACUGAUCCCCAUUUUAAUAGAAUUAACUGAUAAGCCAUUGCAAAAACAAUUUAUGCUGAAC